rnacentral:lncRNA from 1 species
CCAAAUGGAAUAUUCAGACAUAAUUCAUUUAUCAUUUGAAAGACUAUCAACUUGUAUCUAAAUUUUGUCGCAUAUGGCCCACGGUCUUAGAAGAACUCUAUUCAUAUAUGUAGUUAAUCAGAUUUCUAUUAAAUAUGUUCCCACGUCACGUAGCUCAUUGAAACUUCUCUUGUAGCAUUCUAGAGAUAUUAAAGAUCAGUGGGAGCAUUAAGUGUCUUAAUAAUAACUUGCAAUAGUUGCAAGAGGUGGGGGAGUGAAUCUUUUACAUUUACACCUCUUGUACAAGACAUUGCUCCAUCACGACACUGUUCUAUCAAACCUUAUCUCCUUAAAUCUAAUGCUACUCUUACAAAAGUUUCAUUGUUGCUUAAUUGUGGGCACAUUUAGAUUUCUUGCCUAAACUAACAUAAUCCUCAACAAGAGAAACUACAACGACUAACGUCAUUAACUUGUUUCUCUAUUAGAAUUUGUUGGUCGUUACUGUAACGCCCUGCGUUUUCAAACUUCCUACAUUUAGAAACCUUACGUGAAAUUCUAACUUUGGAAAUCUUGUGUUCUUAUAACCAUUCUUUCAUUGUAAUCGUUGUAAAAUACGGAACUUGCUACGUAAAUAAAACUUGUACAUUACACUUUUUACCUAGUUAAAUCAUGUUUUAUUUCAUAUUUCACCUUGUUACAAGUUAGGGGAAGCAUUGUUGCACAUUAUUACACAACUUAAUUAACAAAAUUACUCAUUAUAAUGUU